GAACAACGCUGGCGGCGUGCUAAUACAUGCAAUGUCGAGCGGACAGAAGGGAGCUUGCUCCCGGAUGUUAGCGGCGGACGGGUGAGUAACACGUGGGUAACCUGCCUGUAAGACUGGGAUAACUCCGGGAAACCGGAGCUAAUACCGGAUAGUUCCUUGAACCGCAUGGUUCAAGGAUGAAAGACGGUUUCGGCUGUCACUUACAGAUGGACCCGCGGCGCAUUAGCUAGUUGGUGAGGUAACGGCUCACCAAGGCGACGAUGCGUAGCCGACCUGAGAGGGUGAUCGGCCACACUGGGACUGAGACACGGCCCAGACUCCUACGGGAGGCAGCAGUAGGGAAUCUUCCGCAAUGGACGAAAGUCUGACGGAGCAACGCCGCGUGAGUGAUGAAGGUUUUCGGAUCGUAAAGCUCUGUUGUUAGGGAAGAACAAGUGCAAGAGUAACUGCUUGCACCUUGACGGUACCUAACCAGAAAGCCACGGCUAACUACGUGCCAGCAGCCGCGGUAAUACGUAGGUGGCAAGCGUUGUCCGGAAUUAUUGGGCGUAAAGGGCUCGCAGGCGGUUUCUUAAGUCUGAUGUGAAAGCCCCCGGCUCAACCGGGGAGGGUCAUUGGAAACUGGGAAACUUGAGUGCAGACAGAGGAAGAGUGGAAAUUCCAACGUGUAAGCGGUGAAAAUGCGUUAGAGAUGUGGGAGGAAACACCAGUGGGCGAAGGGCCGACUCUCUGGGGGUCUGUUAACUGGACCGCUGAAGGAGCGAAAAGCGUUGGGGGAGCGAAACAGGGAUUGAUUCCCUGGGUUGUCCACGCCGUAAACGAAUGAGUGCCUACAGUGUUAGGGGGU
rnacentral:rRNA from 1 species